rnacentral:lncRNA from 1 species
AAAAUCGGACCGCUACCGGCGCUAGGAUCCGGGUCGACUUAAGGCCGCCGGGACCCGUAGCAAGCCAAACAUACAUCCUGGAAACCUGUUUAAUCCCAUACAUGAUCAAGAAAAUACAUAAAAAUUUAAAACUUUUCUUUCAAACAUCCAACUCAACCUGAACAUAUACUGUACAUAGUCAUAAUCAUAAUUAUGAUCCCUCUGU